ACUGAGCGUCCGGCGCACAACUCUCCGCCCUCCGUCCCGGUCGCUCGAAGGUCACCCCGAGAGUCGCAAAUCGGCCAGCGGCCGAGGCAGCGAGCACUCACACUUUUCCAACUCGGACUUGUCACCCAGCAACCGAAACUCAGCCACAGGAGCCAACUGGCCUCAUCGUCCCGAGAGAGGCAGGACUAGGAGAGGGCUAAGAUAAGGAUGCUACUCAAGGCCACUUAGGGGUCUGUAGUCCUGCAGUCAUAACUGGAAUGUAAACAUCUAUAACCUCACUCUGACACCAAAAAAAAGCUUACUGGGGAAAAUCCAAGAAGAUAUUAGGCUGUUACAGAAAUACACCAAACCAACCUGAGAAGAACCACACACAGCAAUCCUGUCCACCCCAACAGCCAUCAAGGUGACAGGGACCGUGUCCUAGAU